GAUGAACGCUGGCGGCGUGCCUAAUACAUGCAAGUCGAGCGAACAGACGAGGAGCUUGCUCCUUUGACGUUAGCGGCGGACGGGUGAGUAACACGUGGAUAACCCACCUGUAAGACUGGUAUAACCUCGGGAAACCGGAGCUUAUCCCGGAUAAUAUAUUGCUCCGCAUGGUUCAAUAGUGAAAGUCGGUUUUGCUGUCACGUAUAGAUGGAUCUGCGCCGCAUUAGCUAGUUGGUAAGUUAACGGGUUACCAAGGCAACGAUGCGUAGACGAGCUGAGAGGGUGGUAGGCCACACGGGAGGUGAGACACGGACAAUGCGCCUGCGGGAGGGACCAGAAGGGAAUGUGCGGCAGUGGGCGGAAGCCUGACGGAACAGCGCGGCGUGUGAGGUGAAGGUCUUCGGAUCGUGAAGCUCUGUUAUGAGGGAAGAACAAAUGUGUAAGUAGCUAUGCACGGAUUGACGGUACCUGAUAAGAAAGCAACGGCUAACUACGUG
rnacentral:rRNA from 1 species